rnacentral:rRNA from 1 species
GACGAACGCUGGCGGCGUGCUUAACACAUGCAAGUCGAACGAAGCUUGAUUACGGAUUCUUCGGAUGAAGUAUGAUAUGACUGAGUGGCGGACGGGUGAGUAACGCGUGAGUAACCUGCCCUUCAGAGGGGGAUAGCGUUUGGAAACGAACGGUAAUACCGCAUAAUGUAUUUUGACCGCAUGAUCGAAAUACCAAAGAUUUAUCGCUGAAGGAUGGACUCGCGUCUGAUUAAGUAGUUGGUGGGGUAACGGCCUACCAAGCCGACGAUCAGUAGCCGGACUGAGAGGUUGAUCGGCCACAUUGGGACUGAGACACGGCCCAGACUCCUACGGGAGGCAGCAGUGGGGAAUAUUGCACAAUGGGCGCAAGCCUGAUGCAGCAACGCCGCGUGAAGGAAGACGAUUUUCGGAUUGUAAACUUCUGUUCUUAGUGAAGAAUAAUGACGGUAGCUAAGGAGCAAGCCACGGCUAACUACGUG